GACGAACGCUGGCGGCGUGCCUAAUACAUGCAAGUAGGACGCAGUUGCGAACGGGUGAGUAACGCGUAGGUAACUACCUAUUAGAGGGGGAUAACUAUUGGAAACGAUAGCUAAUACCGCAUACUAGUAGAUGGAUCUGCGUUGUAUUAGCUAGUAGGUAGGGUAAUGGCCUACCUAGGCAACGAUACAUAGCCCACCUUGAAGGGUGGUCGGCCACACUGGGGCUGGGGCACGGCCCAAGCUCCUAAGGGAGGCAGCAGUAGGGAAACUUCGGCAAAGGGGGGAAACCUGACCGAGCAACGCCGCGUGAGUGAAGAAGUUUUUCGGAUCGUAAAGCUCUGUUGUUAAGGGAGCGGUACUUAACCAGAAAGGGACGGCUAACUACGUGCCAGCAGCCGCGGUAAUUC
rnacentral:rRNA from 1 species